AGUGAACGCUGGCGGUAGGCCUAACACAUGCAAGUCGAACGGCAGCACAGGAGAGCUUGCUCUCCGGGUGGCGAGUGGCGGACGGGUGAGGAAUACAUCGGAAUCUACUCUGUCGUGGGGGAUAACGUAGGGAAACUUACGCUAAUACCGCAUACGACCUACGGGUGAAAGCAGGGGAUCUUCGGACCUUGCGCGAUUGAAUGAGCCGAUGUCGGAUUAGCUAGUUGGCGGGGUAAAGGCCCACCAAGGCGACGAUCCGUAGCUGGUCUGAGAGGAUGAUCAGCCACACUGGAACUGAGACACGGUCCAGACUCCUACGGGAGGCAGCAGUGGGGAAUAUUGGACAAUGGGCGCAAGCCUGAUCCAGCCAUACCGCGUGGGUGAAGAAGGCCUUCGGGUUGUAAAGCCCUUUUGUUGGGAAAGAAAUCCAGCUGGCUAAUACCCGGUUGGGAUGACAGUACCCAAAGAAUAAGCACCGGCUAACUUCGUGCCAGCCGCCGCCGUAA
rnacentral:rRNA from 1 species